rnacentral:lncRNA from 1 species
UUGCCCCUAGAAUUAGCCGAGUAGAGGUGUACAAUCUUGAAGGACCGAUGAUUGCAGUCAUACCCUGGCGAGCAGAAGGUGGUGGCAGAUGUUGUAGUUGUGCUAGUUGAGUUACCAAGAUGAGCGUGUGGAGAGGUGGUGGCUGGGCGAAAGAGAGCAAUGGUGAAGUAUGUAUUUGUGAAGAAAGCAACAUGGAUGGAGGGCAACCAACGCCACACUGCAGAGUAAUGGAAGAGGCUGUGACCUGCAGGUGAGACGCUUGAGUAGCCUCUACGUGGAUGACGUUGAUACCAUCGUGUGUAGUUACUCUAGGGACACAACCUCCAGCUGUUGAAGGAUCAAGUUUCUCCCAUACAAG